AAAAAUGGCCGCGGACGGGUUUCCGCCUCUUUCUGCCAUGGUGGCGGGCUGGGGAGGAUCUGCGGCGGCCAUCGGGAACCAUCCACCGCCAUCCGUCGUCUCUGGGGCUCUCCCGCCACUCGGCUCCGCCGCAUCGGCGCCCUGUGGGCAUGGCGUCCGGCGGCGGCGUUUCGGUGCGCUUCGAAGGCUGCGAAGGGCAACGCGGCCUUGCCCCCGCCCUCCUCCUCAGGCCAGGCCCGGCCCCGGCAUCCUGGCGUAGAAGGUGAUCCCGGGACAUGGGAUGGCUGGUGACAGCCUCAGCUUUGGGCAGGGGUCCUGCGUGUUCCAGAGCUCACCCAUCUGAUGGACAGACCCAGCAGUAACUCUGUGGAAAAAGACUAAAACCGGUGAGCCCUGUCCCAAGGGCUUCAGCUUGCUUUCUGUAGGACCUGAGUUGUGAGGAAGCUGCAGUGUGGAGCAUGUCUAAGCAGAGGAUGAACCAUCCCUGAUGGACUUGGUGCUGCCGUGCCAGACUGUUCUUUCCCAGCCCUCUCCUCCAGAAGUGGGAGCUCUGCAGAGCCAGAUCCUGGCUCCUUCCUGAGCUGUGAGCUCUGCCAAGUGGGAUCAGCCGCUUCUGGGCUCCCCUCACCUGCAGUGGAGGGAGGUAGAACUGAUUUGGCUCCAGGUAUAUCUGAAGCUCUGGUUCAAAUACUCCACCUGGAAGAACAGUCUGUUCCAUAGAGUUUUUCUCAGGAGGGGGUCUGGAUAUUAAAUACUUAAUUGGAGGAGAGAGCCAGUAAUGCCAAGGUGGUGGGUUUGAUCCCUAUACAGGCCAUUUGCUUAAGAGCCAGACUCAGUGAUCCAUGUGGGCCCCUUCCAGCUUGGAGUAUUCUCUGUGUGUGAUAGGAGUUUGAAUAAAUGCAAUUACUGCAAAUCUU